rnacentral:lncRNA from 1 species
UUUUGGAUUAGAACAAGAAAAAGCUUAUGGGAGAAGUCAUUACUUUCUUUAUCCUUAUCUUCCCUACGACUUUCCCUUUCAUGCGUAUAAUCUCCAUUCUUCUUUUACUUCAAGAAAACAUGAAAACCUACUUUUCAUUUUAGUUCCUUGCUCAGACGCUAUUUUCUCCCACUUGUUCUUUCAUUUCUUUUGUUGUUUCCUCACCAAGCUUUCGGAACAAUUGAAUCCUCUUAUAAUCAUCCAAGAGUACAGGUAAGAAUUUUUAUAGUCAAGUAUUCUAUUCACAAUAGAAAUUAGAGAAAACAAUAAUUCUCUUAUCUACUCUGUUUGUUUUGUUUCGAAAGUGGGGGCUGGAAGGAUAGGCUUCAUAUUCAUAUUUUAUCUUAAUUUCUCUAUGCUUUCAAUUAGAGACUGAUUAGAAUUUAGUGAUAGGAUGAAAACAAUCAAAGCUAGAUAAAACCCCCAAUUGUCGAUUCCCUCAAGAACCCUAGAAUUCCAUCUUCUUAAUUUCCAUCAAUUGGCUGCGUAUAUAUAUUUAUAUGUUUGUGAGGGAAUCAUUGAGAUUUAUUUGAGUUUUUAUUUGCAAGAAAUCAUAAUUUUCUAAUAGUUUAGUUUCAAUGGAUGUGGGAAUUCUUGAUAUAAGAUAGCUACAUGUUUGAUGCUUGUGUAAUUGUACUCUUUGAGUUGUAAAAUGAGAUCAUACGAUAGUAAUUGGGGGAUAUCAAGCAUGCUACUAUAUGUUGAUGUGUUAAACAUGAAUUAAGUUUAAGCUAAAGCAUGCUAAUGUGUAUUAGGAUGAUGUAUUUGAGAUCCUAUAGCUUUUAUUUGAGAAAAAUAUGAGUGAUAUGUCAAUGAGCAUUGCUGUCAGUUUUCGGGUUGGACAGAACAGUAUGUUUCGGGGUACUUUUGAUGAUGUUUUCGUAGUCCAAAUAACUUGAAAUUUUUAUUGUAAUAACUUCAUCAUGUGUAGUCGUUCUCUGCAAAAUUUCAGCUAAAUCCGAGACCAUUAGAUAUGCUAACUUAUUUUCUGAAAUGUACUGCCGAAGCAGCGAAGUUCGGUGGCAGAUUUUGCCUUUUGUGAUAUAACUUCUCAUACACUUAAUGUAUUGUAUUUUUGUAACUUUCUAAUAAAAAUAGACUUUGAGAGAUUUCUAAAAAUGUAAAGCUUGUAUUUUUCUUUAAAGAGGUUGAUUUUAUAUGAUAUUUCAAAGUUGAGAUUCAUAUAUAAAUACAUGUUUGAGAUUUCUUACUUGGGAUAGUUAUGAAUAGAAUUAUGCUAAGUGAUUGAUGUUUUAGUUAUUAAUUGUAAGCUAAUCUAUAUAGAAUGGAUUAGUCUACUCUUAAGUUUUUUUCAACUUGAGAUAUCCCAAGAGAUAUGAUGUUAUUGUUUGCUUUUAGUUAGUGAAGUCCAUAUAAGUAGAUUACUUAGAUUAGAGGAAGCAACCCUAAAGUUUCAAGAGAUAUAAGUUUCAAUUAGAAAUUCUUUUCUAUUUAUUUCUUGUCUAUCUAUACAAUCUUACCUUGGGAACCUCAUUAUAAUGAAGGUUCGAGUGACUUUAUAAAGUAAACAAGCAAGGAUCUCUACUUCAUUAAGCAUACCAGGUGGGCAUUACUUUUACUAUACGUAUAUAGAGAUCCCCUGCGUGUCGUAGGCCUCUUAUACGAAUGAAUGCAUGAGAUGAUUUAACUGUUAAUUUCAGUUUUAUAUAUCUAUCAAAUGAGUUUAAUGUUACAUUUGAGCAAGUUAUUUCGUUACAAAAUAUUUGAGUUAAAGUUAUUUCAAGUAUUGUCUUGCCAUAAAAUGUUUAAAUUUUAGUAUGAUAUCUAUCUGCUUUGGCUUUGCCAAUGAUGCAAUCGAAUUCGGGUCCUGAGCAGUUGAUAGCUAUCCUGCCAGGGCUAGUGUACACCAGUGACCGUGAGUCAUCUAGCGGGUUGGCCGGUCAAGUGACCGUGAGAGGUGGCCACCUCUCCGGCACACAGUUCC